GCUUUCCGCCUGCCUCUCGCGUGCGCUCUCAAUGACUUUCCGAGCGCUCUCCCUCGUAUUCCGCGUCCUUCCCUGCUCUUCCCGCUCUGCCGAGUCCCCUUCUGCGCCUCUCCUCGCCUCCGCCACCAGUCUGGAAAGGUAAUGGUCAAUAGACCAGACUUAAAGAAAUGGGCAAAUAUAAGAAAACUCUGCAGCAAGAAGAAGCUAACACUAUUUGUUGUAAGUUUAUUGCAAUAUGGUGUGAAACAUGUGGGUGAAUGUCUGUGGGAUGUAACACAAUAUGGCUUUGCACAUUGCAUCUCCAACCUAAAUAAACUCAUACUGACCAAA